GGGGAUGCCCUGGUUUCGACGGGGGAGGCUGGUCCCGAAUUGCGAGUCGAGAGGUGCCGAUCUCGAAAAAUCAGUACAAAAAAUUAAGUGCCAAUAAUCGCACUUCCUACGCUGCAAUGCCUCUCGCUGCAUAAGCUUGACGGCUGAGCCGCUAUGACCUUUUCAGGUCACGUUCACCUGCAUCGUUUUCCUGACCGAUCGCAGAGUGGGCGUCACAAAGUCAGGAUGCUGUCCAUGAUUUCACGGCAUGAUACAAAAGAGGACUUUCGGGUCUGAGUGAAUAAUCUGAGGAGGUUUUGUUCUUUUUUCCUUCUUAAGAUGAAAUCAAUAAACGAACUACACUCGUAGUAUAUUCGCGGGUCGAUUCUUUCGGACGCGGGUUCGACUCCCGCCAUCUCCACCA
rfam:Anaerolineae bacterium TC1 DNA, scaffold: ATC1_scaffold_3.